rnacentral:rRNA from 1 species
AGUGAACGCUGGCGGUAGGCCUAACACAUGCAAGUCGAACGGCAGCACAGUAAGAGCUUGCUCUUACGGGUGGCGAGUGGCGGACGGGUGAGGAAUACAUCGGAAUCUACUUUUUCGUGGGGGAUAACGUAGGGAAACUUACGCUAAUACCGCAUACGACCUACGGGUGAAAGCAGGGGAUCUUCGGACCUUGCGCGAUUGAAUGAGCCGAUGUCGGAUUAGCUAGUUGGCGGGGUAAAGGCCCACCAAGGCGACGAUCCGUAGGUGGUCUGAGAGGAUGAUCAGCCACACUAGAAGUGAGGCACGGUCCAGACUCCUACGGGAGGCAGCAGUGGGGAAUAUUGGACAAUGGGCGCAAGCCUGAUCCAGCCAUACCGCGUGGGUGAAGAAGGCCUUCGGGUUGUAAAGCCCUUUUGUUGGGAAAGAAAAGCAGCAGGUUAAUACCCCGCUGUUCUGACGGUACCCAAAGAAUAAGCACCGGCUAACUUCGUG